UGGAACUUUUUGGGGAAUGUCAUUCUCUAA
rnacentral:piRNA from 1 species